GGGGAGUUUGGAUGAAUGUUUAACUGAUCCAGAUCCUUCUUACAGCUGAUGGAGUGCCCUGGGGUCAAUAAUGCAGGAUUCUCAGGGCCAGCUGAUUUAUACUGAUGUGACUCCACUAAACCAGUGUAAAACUGGUGAAUCAGGCCCCCAGGUGGGGGCCCUUGGAUGUCCAUCACAGACCAACUGACACACUAUUCCAGCAUUAACGGAGUUUCUUUUAGUGAAACUGGAUCAGCUUAGACAGAGACAUCUGCUAAAGUCAGCAGCGCUCACAUGUUCCCUGGCUCACACAACCUUUAGUUUGUUUUGCUUCUUUUUUUGUUUUAAAGUCCCUUUUGGGACACAAUGGGGAUCCAGAUCUCAGUUAGUGUCUCUAGGCUAUCCUGUGAUACUUCUACCAAUGAUUAUGAUUCUGGUAUGUCAACCUGGGGAACUCUUUGCCAGACGAUGUUGUGA